rnacentral:lncRNA from 1 species
CCAUUUCCCAUAUCAUAUGAUCUCAAUCUUCUCGAGCUCCUCAUGGCCAUGACAAAUAUAUAUUUUUUUUAAAAACAUACCUGAAUAAUCAAAGCCAUAUAUCUCUUCUACGAAACUGUGUAGUUUUUAUUGGCCACAGUACAUUUUAUUCCUUGUUCUACGUUCAUUUUCAUGUCUAGUGCCCACAAACCAACCACUUCCUGUAACAGACGACCGCAUUCAAAAUGCCUGUUUCUCCAAUCCAGUUACUAUAAACUGAUUGACACCUAUUCUAUCCAAUAGUACUCAUUCUCAUGUUUACAAUGGUAUGCCCAUUGCCUGUCUUUGAAUAAUAUUACGAUGUGAUUGGUCCACGCGUAACCGAAGGUUCUCUGGUGCGCUUUCCAUGCGCCAGAGCAGUCAUUCCCAGCACAGGCUUUGCGCAUUCAACACAAGACGUGGAGUUCGCCUAUGGACACAAUUGGAACAGCUGGAUUGUGUCCUAGACAUGACAUAGAGAUGUCCCUGCAGGAGAUGCAUCUGUCCGCUCCCCACUCAUUUCAUCUCAUCUGAACAGAUCUCAUCUCAUCAGAACAGAACUCAUCUCAUCUCAUCUUAUCCCUCCACACCCCACCACACACCUCCACACACCACCUCCACACUACACCACCUCCACACACCACCUCCACACUACACCACCUCCACACACCACCACCACACACCACUACACCACCUCCACACGCCUCCACACACCACUAGACCACCUCCACACGCCUCCACACACCACUACACCACCUCCACACACCACCUCCACACACCACUACACCACCUCCACACGCCUCCACACACCACUACACCACCUCCACACACCACCACACACCUCCACACCCCCCUACACCACCUCCACACCCCACCACACACCUCCACACACCACUACACCACCUCCACACCCCACUACAACACCUCCACACACCACUACACCACCUCCACACGCCUCCACACACCACUACACCACCUCCACACACCUCCACACACCACUACACCACCUCCACACCCCACCACACACCUCCACACACCACUACACCACCUCCACACACCACUACACCACCUCCACACCCCACUACACCACUACACCACCUCCACACACCACUACACACCUCCACACACCACUACACACCUCCACACACCACUACACCACCUCCACACACCUCCACACACCACUACACCACCUCCACACACCACUACACCACCUCCACACGCCUCCACACACCACUACACCACCUCCACACACCACUACACCACCUCCACACCCCACUACACCACCUCCACACCCACACACCACCUCCACACACCACUACACCACCUCCACACACCACCACACACCACUACACCACCUCCACACACCACUACACCACCUCCACACACCACUACACACCUCCACACACCUCCACACCCCCCUACACCACCUCCACACCCCACCACACACCUCCACACACCACCACACCCCACUACACCACCUCCACACCCCCCUACACCACCUCCACACCCCACUACACACCUCCACACACCACUACACCACCUCCACACACCACCUCCACACACCACUACACACCACUACACCACCUCCACACCCCCCUACACCACCUCCACACCCCACUACACACCUCCACACACCACUACACCACCUCCACACACCACUACACCACCUCCACACACCACUACACACCUCCACACACCACCUCCACACCCCACCACACCACUACACCACCUCCACACCCCACCACACACCACCACAAAACAUACAUGAUGUACUUUUAUAUGGAUCUGGAUAGGUUUUUGGGUAUAUUUUGGAGAGGCUAUAGACCAUCAUAUGUGUUGUCAC